rnacentral:lncRNA from 1 species
AUGCAGCUGGCAGAGCCGCAGGGGACCCUCCUGAAGAGCACGGAGAACGCUCGGGCCCCUGCCGGCGCGUGGCCUCCUCAUUGUCACCGCCCCGAGGCGGGUACACCAGUAACACCGGACUCUCUCUCGGCCUCUGUCCUCGCCAGCGGCUGGAGGACGUUCUCCCGCUUGGGACGUUCUCGGAGGUGGCGGGUGACAGAGCUUGCGGGUGGUGCCCCAGCCCGUCCGGUGUCCAGGGGGGCUCGGGACGCGCCCCCCUGGCCGCCCCCCUCCCUGGCCGCUGGCUGGAGAAGCCCUUCCCCCCGCCCCGGAGAGGAACGGGUGGGGGUCCUGUGCGGCUGGAGCCCACGGCCUAAGAAGCUGCUAGAGACCGGAGUUUCACGGCCCGCAAAUGAACGCCGAUCCCGCCGACCACAGGCUUCCGACCGAUGCUGGCCGCGGCGUGAGAGCGGUGUUCCCACGUGCUGGGGGCCGGACCGCUGUGGCCGGCCACAUGGCCAUCCAGGGGACACCUGGUCCCCGCACACACGGAUUCUGGCAGAUUAUCCACAUGCUCUCUGGAAGGUCGAGAAAGGGGCAGUCGGACAGAAGGAAACCGAAUCCGGGCCCACGAGGCCGUGCGUGCCAAGGAAAAGUGAGAAUUUCCAGCAAGAAGAGGAGGGGAGACCAUAGCCCCGCACAUACCUUCAUUUAGACUUCUAGCCUCCAAACGAGCGAGGACCCAUUCUGUUGCUUCGAGCCAUCUAGUCUGUGGUACUUUGUUUACAGUGGCCUUAGUAAACAAAUACAUGUAUAACCCUAAUUUAAAAUAAAAAAAAUAGUGUGCACUAGAUUUUAUCA